GAUAUUUUCGUACCAAAACAAUGCAACUAGUAAUUACUUGCACACAUUACUUUCUUGAAGGUCACUACAGGAGCUCCUUGCUAGUAAACCCGAUGGUGAAGCAGCAGUUGGGUGGUUAUGCCCCGAGCAGACCUCCGUAACCAAAUGCUUGCAUAACCCUUGUGAUGUGAUAGAUUACCUUGAGCGGGGUAUUAGAGAAUCAAUGCGUGCGGGAAACAAGUUCUUAUUAGCCCCUUGUUUUGAGGAUCUACAUUGAAGCCUUAUGGUGAUUUGUGUUUCCAAUAACACAAUCUACUACUUUGACUCAGCUCGUAUAUGGCUACCAAGGAAGUUGCUAGUGAAUAACCUAUUGAAUAGUGUUAUGAAGAAUUUGAAUUGUCGUUCGGUUGCGGGUCCCACAUGGAAAUAUGCGAAGGUAAAGCCUUGAUAUAUUGAUUUAUUUAAUAAAAUUGCCUUGAGUUAUGGCUAUGCAUGACUAUUUUAACUUUGUGUCAUGUUAAUGUGCGCGACAAGACAACGGCGUUGACUGUGCCCUCUACGUGAUGAGGUUUAUGCAUGACAUAGUCAAUAGGUGCACUAAAGCCCAACACAUUGAGGAGGUUUGUAAGAUUCAAAGGGAAGGCCCUUUGACAAAGGAAGGAGUUGAUGAAAUUCGCGACAUGUGGGCUUUUUUUUCUGAUAUUUGAUGGCAUCUAGGUAGAAUAUAUAAUAUAUAUUUAUUAGUUAGAUAAUGAAUGAGAUUGAAUUUUUUUUUUUUUUUUAUUUAUGAACAAUUAAUAUUUAGUUACUAUAUCUUUUUUAUUUUUAUUAAAUCCAUAUGUACAUUAUAUUACUUAUUUGUAAUUAGUACUAUACAUUAUUUAUGAGUUUUAUAUA